AAAUAAAUUAUAAACUAGAAAUACAGGAAAAAUAUAACUUACUCAUGAUUCAGAUGGUGAAGAUUCUCGUCUUGCAAGGAAGGCCUUAAUUUUAAGAGAACCAUGAAGAGAGCCGGUUAUAAGGGUGGCUGGGUCAAACUGCCCCCCCUCGAGAUAACGAUAAGACCAAGAUCCCUCUAGGUUGUUUAGUCUUGUCCACGGUCUACUCUCUGGGUAAAUGAAAAUGCUGGUUUCUGAGGCCCUAAGGUAACUGAAAAUUCUGGUUUCUGAUCCUCUGAGUAACUAGAAACUCUGGGUUUUUAUUUUCUGGGUUAUUAGAAAUGCCUGGGUAACUGAAAAUUCUGGUUUCUGAUCCUCUGAGUAACUAGAAACUCUGGGUUUUUAUUUUCUGGGUUAUUAGAAAUGCCUGGGUUCUGAUUUUAUGUGUAAAUUAAAACCCCUGGUUUCAAUUCUGUGUGUAAGUGAAAUAGCCUUUUUCUGGGACAUAAGAGUAAG
ensembl:lncRNA